GACGAACGCUGGCGGCGUGCUUAACACAUGCAAGUCGAACGGAAAGACCCUGCUUUUGUGGGGUGCUCGAGUGGCGAACGGGUGAGUAACACGUGAGUAACCUGCCCUUGACUUUGGGAUAACUUCAGGAAACUGGGGCUAAUACCGGAUAGGAGCUCCUGCUGCAUGGUGGGGGUUGGAAAGUUUCGGCGGUUGGGGAUGGACUCGCGGCUUAUCAGCUUGUUGGUGGGGUAGUGGCUUACCAAGGCUUUGACGGGUAGCCGGCCUGAGAGGGUGACCGGCCACAUUGGGACUGAGAGACGGCCGAGAGUCCUACGGGGGGCAGCAGUGGGGAAGAGUGCACAAUGGGCGGAAGCCUUAUGCAGCAACGCCGCGUGCGGGAUGACGGCCGUCGGGUUGUAAACCGCUUUCGCCUGUGACGAAGCGUGAGUGACGGUAAUGGGUAAAGAAGCACCGGCUAACUACGUG
rnacentral:rRNA from 1 species